rnacentral:lncRNA from 1 species
ACAGAGUUGAUUCAAGAGGGCUUCUGGUACAAGUAUGACUCGAGAUCACAUCCAUCUUUCCAUGCCUACUCCAAAUCAUAACUCGGUAAAAGUAUGUCUUAUCUCUGAAUUCUACUGCAAGACUCCAUUCAUUUCGACAUACUAUUAGUGAUUCUCGUCUGCUAGUUUCUCUCAAUCAAAAGGUGGGUUGAAAGGUAUAUUAUAGAGAGCACCAUGAAGCAUGUGUUCCUCACGAAUGAAUCUUCUUGAAAAUUUAAUGCAUGCCUAGGUCCCUCAAGUCAGCUCUUGGAGGUGACAUGUAAGAACAUGACUGCCAGAAAAACUAAGGCCAUCCAUUCGAGUAUGGUGUCUCGAAGAGAACUCAUCAAUUUCCAAAGUGUUCGCGGGAUGCCAACCUCAGAUGUAUAAGAUUUUAUUGUAGGGAUUAGUGAUGAAGCCAGGAUUUGAUCGGACUUUGCUAUUAAUGGUGGAGAAAAUUUUCAGCCAACAAAUGAUGCCUUCGAUGGUUGGAUGUAUAAGAUUUGAUAUGACAACAAUACUAAGUAAACUGUAACGAUUGUUUAGAGAAUUUAUUGCUCGAGUUUGAUCUUCAAAAAGUUUAUUACAUCGGCAGACAUGUGAUGUAUCUUAGAGACCCAGUUUGACUGGUUUCAAAAGAAAACAAGGAAACAAAACUGAGUGUUGUCAUCUGUUACUCAUGAACUUGCCACCCUCCAGAUCCUAAGUCUCUGGACAGCUUACAUUGCUAGAAAUAUA